ensembl:piRNA 21ur-642 ncRNA
UACACAUAACAGUAAUAAUAG